rnacentral:rRNA from 1 species
AGCAAUGCCGCGUGAACGAUGAAGUAUUUCGGUACGUAAAGUUCUUUUAUUAGGGAAGAAAAGAUGGUGGAAAAACCAUUAUGACGGUACCUAAUGAAUAAGCCCCGGCUAACUAUGUGCCAGCAGCCGCGGUAAUACAUAGGGUGCAAGCGUUAUCCGGAAUUAUUGGGCGUAAAGGGUGCGUAGGCGGUUAAAUAAGUUUAUGGUCUAAGUGCAACGCUCAACGUUGUGAUGCUAUGAAAACUGUUUAGCUAGAGUUGGAUAGGGGCAAGUGGAAUUCCGUGUGUAGCGGUAAAAUGCGUAAAUAUACGGAGGAACACCAGAAGCGAAGGCGGCUUGCUGGGUCUUAACUGACGCUGAGGCACGAAAGCGUGGGAAGCAAACAGGAUUAGAUACCCUGGUAGUCCACGCCCUAAACGAUGA